rnacentral:tRNA from 1 species
GGGGAUUUAGCUCAAUGGUGGAGCGCUUGCCUAGCAAGUGCAAGGCCCUGGGUUCGGUCCCCAGCUCCA